UGUAGGACCUUUCCGCAAAAUUCCUCGGUGGCUUCCCUCCGUUAAUGGCGGUGGCGGCGGUGGCGGCCGCCGGCGAUUGCUCCGCCGUGUUGCCCGAGCCCAUAUCCCGCCUCGCCCUGAGGCUCCGGUCUGCGCGGGCAGAGGAGGAGGGGAAGGAAGGGAACGGGAGCGUUUGAACUCCAGGCCGAAGCGCGAAGCGGGGGUUAACGUAGCGGCACAUUCCUUGAAAAAGAACACAGCACGUUUCUGCUGUCUGACACUCCUACUUAUCUUAGAAGAUGAAUUUCCAAGGGAACAACUAAAAAUCAGUAUAUCGGUCCCAAACUUGAAAGGUACCUGUUCUACAACUGUGGUUGCUUCAGAGAUCAAAGCCAUUCUUUUCAUUGACAUGUCAAUCAUCAUUUUGGCAUAUGUUGCGCCAACCAUGAGGAGCAUAGGAACAACCAGCAUGGAGAGCAUACCCACCUCCCAGCAGCACACGAAAGCAACAAUGAUGGAAACAAAGAACGUGGAGAAGUUUGACAAAAAGUGACCAAGCUGAGGGAAAAAGCCAUGAUUUUUGCAGUGGUUAAGUCAGUAUCAAAAGCUCCAAUAUCUUGACUCAGCACUGAUCUCAAGUAUGCCAUCCGCAUGCGUGACAUUUGUCUCUGACUGGUAUACAUCCAACAUGUAAUUUCUGUGGAAGUGUCAUUUUUGCAAAAAGGUGACUUGAGGUCAACUGUGAUCAAUGGCGAGGACCAUGACUAGAUUCAGGGAGGAGCUGAGGUUUGGAUGAUCGGGAUACAGACCAUGACUAAGUUCAGGGAUGAACCGAGAUCUGGAUGGUCGGGAUGCCAUGUGACAUGGUUGGAUAGAGUCGUGAUUCUCGGAGGUCAAUACCGGUCACCGGCGGUGGGAUCGUGACUAAGCUCAGGGAGGAGCUGAGGUCCGGACGAUCAAGAAUGCCGGGUGACAGUGUUGAAUACGAGAUGGCACAUGGUGGAGGAACACCGUGUGGGAUGAAAUCGUAACGGGCUUCACAUGUUGCAUGUGUAAGCGCCGAAAAAAUCGUGAAGUAAAUCGGAUUAAAAUUGAAGUUUAAUGGACGAAGAAAUAAAAGAAAAGAAAGAGAUAGAGUUGCGCUACAGUACACGUGCUACAGUACCGCGCCGGACUGUAGCACGGUUGGUGUCCUGUACGUGCGCAAGAGAGAUCGGGGUCUGUACGUACGUGUACGUAUGGGCUUGUUGGCCCGUGCGGCAUGGAUGCAAGGCACGAUCGAUUCGGUUUCGACGUGCGGGUGUCAUGAGCUUUUGGAGAAUUAGAAUUAGAAAAUUAGAGUUGAAUAGUUGUUGAUUCUAGAUCAACAAUUUUAAGAGGAGUGCUGUUGUUGCACUUUGUAAAUACUAGUUGAAGCAAUAAAGUUGAGAGCAUUCAAUCUACAGAUUCUGCUUUCAUCUACCGGUAUUUCUCUGGAUCUGGACGAUCUGAUUGACAGCACAGGACAACGCGAUCAAGUUAAUUUCAGGAGCGGCGUAACCAGAUUGGCGGCAUAGGACGGCGUUACCAGAGGUAAUC